CUGGUCGAUUAGUAAAUAAAAUUCGGCUUUUCACGCGCCGCGGUUUCGGAGGAAAAUACGAGAGUUCGCUACGCGGGAAAAACAGAUGCGAAGAUCUUGCGAAAGAUUUGUUCCCGCGACCGUUCAAUUGCUCAAUCCGCCGCCGAGAGAUUUAGCAGUCGAUCCGAUUUGCUCGCAUUGUCAUCCGCACUUUAGGUUGACCCUUGGAGAGGUUAGGAACUUUGGGAAAUGAGCGGGAGAUACGAAUCGUUUAAACUUAGGUAUAAUAGCGCGAUUGAUUUAGGAGCUGCAGGUGCGCUUUGAGAAAUAAAACUUGUCCGUGGGAUUUGAUUUAGAACCAUAUGGAAUGUCGAACAACUUUUCCUCUUUGAUUCUGAUGAAAUUUAUUUGUGAAAUUUGUCGAAUUAAUUUAGAGGGUGCUGCAGAGUGAGUGUAUCCAUUUAUAGGAAAAAUGUGUAGGCGGAGUACAGAACGGCGGAAGCAUUAGAAGAGUUCUAGAAUAAAUCAUUAGAAGGUAGUUGCCAUCAGUGUUACUGCAAUUAUAGUCGAAUAAACUGCGAUGAAGAAUAACAAAUGGAUAGUAAUUGAGUUAUAAUUGGUAUGACGCUAUAUGCAGACGCAAUUAUGCCAGGAUUAAGUGAUAAGUCUACUAGCGUCUCUAGCGAGUGAAUCACGUGGGUCGUGAUUAAUAAGAAGACCUGCAAUAUGUCCGAAGAUAAGUCCCGGCCAGGAACGGUUGCCAAAAUGUAUAUCACGGAUAAUGAUAACGGGACUUUUCCCAUUAUCUUUCAUUCAGGAUUUGAUACACCCACUCCGACGCCAAUUGGCCAGGAAAUUCAAUUCCAUUCGUGUCUCCAGUACAAUUGCCAUCGCGACUGUUUUAAAGCGUGCAGAUAUUCAGGAGAAAGUUGUCAAAGAAAAUUUCGGUAACGAUGGCAUCGAAGACCUCGCAAUAACACUAACAAUGGUAGCAAAUAUUUAACUAUACUGUUUACAACUGACCAGUGAUGGUGAGAAGUCUCAAACUACUACUGAACUUUGCAACUACAGCAAA